rnacentral:rRNA from 1 species
UACGGAGGGGGCGAGCGUUAUUCGGAAUUAUUGGGCGUAAAGGGCGCGCAGGCGGCGUGCCAAGUCGGAGGUGAAAUCCCGGGGCUCAACCUCAGAACUGCCUUCGAUACUGGCGAUCUUGAGUCCGGGAGAGGUGAGUGGAACUCCUAGUGUAGAGGUGAAAUUCGUAGAUAUUAGGAAGAACACCAGUGGCGAAGGCGGCUCACUGGCCCGGUACUGACGCUGAAACGCGAAAGCGUGGGGAGCAAACAGG